rnacentral:rRNA from 1 species
UUAAUUAAUCUCUGAGUUUGAAUAUGAGUUGCAAGUGGGCCAUUCCGGGUAAGCUGGACUGGCAAUGCGGGAUCAACCGAACGCUAUGUUACGGUGCCUUAUUAUUCGCUCAGUUCGAUGUAAAAGGUGUUAGUUCAUCUAGACAGCAGGACGGUGGCCAUGGAAGUCGGAAUCCGCUAAGGAGUGUGUAACAACUCACCUGCCGAAUGAAGUAGCCCUGAAAAUGGAUGGCGCUAAAGCGAAUAACCUAUACAUAGCCAACACAAUUAGGAUUGUAUGGUGUUGAGUAGGAAUGCGUGAUGAAUGUUGUGAAGUAUAUCGUGUGAACGAAUAUGGAACAUUCAUUAGUGCAGAUCUUGGUGGAAGUAGCAAAUAUUCAAAUGAGAUCUUUGAAGACUGAAGUGGAGAAAGGUUCCAUAGGAAUAGUGAUUAUCUAUGGGUUAGUCGAUCCUAAGAGAUAAGUGAAAUCUGUUGAAAGUAUAACAUUUGGUUAUAAGUUAUCGAAAGGGAAUCAGGUUAAUAUUCCUGAACCAAAUAGUAUAAGAAACGGUAACGUAUAUUCCUCUUGAGACAUUUCUAUUAUUCCCAGGAAGAGUUUUCUUUUCUUGUUAACAAUAUUUGAGUGCUUGGAAUUAAUUCAGUUAGCGAUAAGCAUUGAAUAUUGGUAAAGUAGUAUACUAUUGUAUAUUAUCUGGUGCAAUGAUAGGGAUCCUUGAAAAUGAAGAGGUAAAAUCUUAGAAUAUUUGGUCGUACUAAUAACCGCAUCAGGUCUCCAAGGUGAAUAGCCUCUAGUUAAUAGAAUAAUGUAGAUAAGGGAAGUCGGCAAAUUAGAUCCGUAACUUCGGGAAAAGGAUUGGCUCUGAGGGCUAAGUGGAUAUGAGUGUUAGGUAUGUGUUGGUAUGGUAUGAAUGUUGUUUUUGAUGGCUUCGGUUGUUGAGAAUGGCAUUUAUAGUAUUCCUACCCAUCCUGUCACUCUCCCACUAUGAAUAGCUAACUCAGAACUGGUACGGACAAGGGGAAUCCGACUGUUUAAUUAAAACAAAGCAUUGUGAUAGUGUGAAAGAUAUAUUGACACAAUGUGAAUUCUGCCCAGUGCUCUGAAUGUCAAAGUGGCGUAAUUCAACCAAGCGCGGGUAAACGGCGGGAGUAACUAUGACUCUCUUAAGGUAGCCAAAUGCCUCGUCAUCUAAUUAGUGACGCGCAUGAAUGGAUUAAUGAGAUUCCCACUGUCCCUAUCUACUAUCUAGCGAAACCACAGCCAAGGGAACGGGCUUGGAAAAAUCAGCGGGGAAAGAAGACCCUGUUGAGCUUGACUCUAGUUUAACAUUGUGAAAUGACUUUAGAGGUGUAGCAUAGGUGGGAGAAGCAAUUCGAUCCUGAAAUACCACUACUCUGAAUGUUGUUUUACUUAUUCCAUGAAAAAGGAUAGUAUAUUCGUAUACUGUUAAGAAGUAAAUUGGUUUAUCCAAUGACCUAAAUGGGAGACAUUGUUAGGUGGGGAGUUCGGCUGGGGCGGCACAUCUGUUAAAGAAUAACACAGGUGUCCUAAGAUGAGCUCAAUAAGAACAGAAAUCUUAUGUAGAACAAAAGGGUAAAAGCUCAUUUGAUUUUGGUUUUCAGUAUGAUCACAAACUAUGCAAGUAUGGCCUAUCGAUCCUUUAUAUUUAGUGAGAUCCUAGAUAGAGGUGUCAGAAAAGUUACCACAGGGAUAACUGGCUUGUGGCGGCCAAGAGUUCAUAUCGACGUCGCUUUUUGAUUCUUCGAUGUCGGCUCUUCCUAUC